ACUGACAGUGGGGCCAGAGAAUAGUUACGCAAGGACGUUUUCUGGCGGGGAAUCGGCUUAGUCGAAUAAAGUUCUAGAUAGAAUAAUGAUUAUGACAAUUUUCUAUCUAAAUGUCUUGACCAAGUCACGUGCCAGCAGUCGCGGUAAUACGUGGAAGACUAGUGUUAUUCAUCUUUAAUAGGUUUAAAGGGUACCUAGACGGUAUUUCUAGCCCCCAAAGGGUACGGAUUUACUAGAGUUUUAUGUGAGAGGCAAAUAUUAGUACUAUUGGUGUAGAGAUGAAAUUCUUUGAUACUACUAGGACUGGUGGCGGCGAAAGCAACCCUCUAAGUAUAAACUGACGUUGAGGGACGAAGGCUUGGGUAGCGAAUAGGAUUAGAUACCCUAGUAGUCCAGGCAAAAAAUUAUGAGUGCCAUAGACUAGAUUAAAUAAUUUUGGUCUAUAAAUGAAAGUGUAAGCAUUCCACCUCAAGAGUAAUGUGGCAACGCAGGAACUGAAAUCAUUAGACCGUUUCUGAAACCAGUAGUGAAGUAUGUUAUUUAAUUCGAUAACCCUCGAAAAACCUUACCACAAUUUGAAUGUAAUAUAUGUAGUAGUCUAAUAAUUGUCUAGUUAACAACUACAUGUAUUAACACAAGCGUUGCACGGCUGUCUUCAGUUAAUGUCGUGAGAACUUGGUUAGAUCCAUUAAAUUAACGUAAUCCCUUUCGUUAGUUCUCUGAACUAAUGAAGUUCACCGCUAUAUUGGAUA
rnacentral:rRNA from 1 species